GACGAACGCUGGCGGCGUGCUUAACACAUGCAAGUCGAACGGAAAGGCCCUGCUUUUGUUGGGUGCUCGAGUGGCGAACGGGUGAGUAACACGUGAGUAACCUGCCCUUGACUUUGGGAUAACUUCAGGAAACUGGGGCUAAUACCGGAUAGGAUCUCCUGCUGCAUGGUGGGGGUUGGAAAGUUUCGGCGGUUGUGGAUGGACUCGCGGCUUAUCAGCUUGUUGGUGGGGUAGUGGCUUACCAAGGCUUUGACGGGUAGCCGGCCUGAGAGGGUGACCGGCCACAUUGGGACUGAGAUACGGCCCAGACUCCUACGGGAGGCAGCAGUGGGGAAUAUUGCACAAUGGGCGGAAGCCUGAUGCAGCAACGCCGCGUGCGGGAUGACGGCCUUCGGGUUGUAAACCGCUUUCGCCUGUGACGAAGCGUGAGUGACGGUAAUGGGUAAAGAAGCACCGGCUAACUACGUG
rnacentral:rRNA from 1 species